UACGUAGGGUGCGAGCGUUAAUCGGAAUUACUGGGCGUAAAGGGUGCGCAGGCGGAAUCGUAAGUCAGAUGUGAAAUCCCCGGGCUUAACCUGGGAACUGCGUUUGAAACUGCGAUGCUAGAGUAUGUCAGAGGGGGGUGGAAUUCCACGUGUAGCAGUGAAAUGCGUAGAGAUGUGGAGGAACACCAAUGGCGAAGGCAGCCCCCUGGGAUAAUACUGACGCUCAAGCACGAAAGCGUGGGGAGCAAACAGG
rnacentral:rRNA from 1 species